GAUGAACGCUGGCGGCGUGCCUAAUACAUGCAAGUCGAGCGAACGGACGAGAAGCUUGCUUCUCUGAUGUUAGCGGCGGAAGGGUGAGUAACACGUGGAUAACCUACCUAUAAGACUGGGAUAACUUCGGGAAACCGGAGCUAAUACCGGAUAAUAUUUUGAACCGCAUGGUUCAAAAGUGAAAGACGGUCUUGCUGUCACUUAUAGAUGGUUCCCCGCUGCAUUAGCUAGUUGGUAAGGUAACGGCUUACCAAGGCAACGAUGCAUAGCCGACCGGAGCGGGUGAUCGGCCACACGGGAACUGAGACACGGUCCAGAGGCCUACGGGAGGCAGCAGUAGGGAAUCUUCCGCAAUGGGCGAAAGCCUGACGGAGCAACGCCGCGUGAGUGAUGAAGGUCCUCGGAUCGUAAAACUCUGUUAUUAGUGAAGAACAUAUGUGUAAGGAACUGUGCACAUCUUGACGGUACCUAAUCAGAAAGCCACGGCUAACUACGUG
rnacentral:rRNA from 1 species